rnacentral:rRNA from 1 species
UCCGAAGGGGGCUAUCGUUGUUCGGAAUCACUGGGCGUAAAGCGCACGUAGGCGGAUUGUUAAGUCAGGGGUGAAAUCCCGAGGCUCAACCUCGGAACUGCCUUUGAUACUGGCGAUCUAGAGUCCGGGAGAGGUGAGUGGAACUGCGAGUGUAGAGGUGAAAUUCGUAGAUAUUCGCAAGAACACCAGUGGCGAAGGCGGCUCACUGGCCCGGAACUGACGCUGAGGUGCGAAAGCGUGGGGAGAAAACAGG